AUUGAACGCUGGCGGCAUGCUUUACACAUGCAAGUCGAACGGUAACAGGGAGCUUGCUCCGCUGACGAGUGGCGAACGGGUGAGUAAUGCGUCGGAACGUGCCGAGUAGUGGGGGAUAACGCAUCGAAAGGUGUGCUAGUACCGCAUACGUACUGAGGUAGAAAGUGGGGGACCUUCGGGCCUCACGCUAUUCGAGCGGCCGACGUCUGAUUAGCUAGUUGGUGAGGUAAAGGCUCACCAAGGCGACGAUCAGUAGCGGGUCUGAGAGGAUGAUCCGCCACACUGGGACUGAGACACGGCCCAGACUCCUACGGGAGGCAGCAGUGGGGAAUUUUGGACAAUGGGCGCAAGCCUGAUCCAGCCAUGCCGCGUGUCUGAAGGAGGCCUUCGGGUUGUAAAGGACUUUUGUCCGGGAGCAAAUGCCUGGUGUUAAUAGCACUGGGAGCUGAGAGUACCGGAAGAAUAAGCACCGGCUAACUACGUGCCAGCCGCCGCGGUAAAAC
rnacentral:rRNA from 1 species